UAAUACAUAANUAACCUGGCAUCUACAGGGGGAUAACUGAUGGAAACGUCAGCUAAGACCGCAUAGGUGUAGAGAUCGCAUGAACUCUAUAUGAAAAGUGCUACGGGACUGGUAGAUGAUGGACUUAUGGCGCAUUAGCUGGUUGGUAGGGUAACGGCCUACCAAGGCGACGAUGCGUAGCCGACCUGAGAGGGUGACCGGCCACACUGGGACUGAGACACGGCCCAGACUCCUACGGGUGGCAGCAGUAGGGAAUUUUCGGCAAUGGGGGAAACCCUGACCGAGCAACGCCGCGUGAAGGAAGAAGUAAUUCGUUAUGUAAACUUCUGUCAUAGAGGAAGAACGGUGGAUAUAGGGAAUGAUAUCCAAGUGACGGUACUCUAUAAGAAAGCCACGGCUAACUACGUGCCAGCAGCCGCGGUAAUACGUAGGUGGCGAGCGUUAUCCGGAAUUAUUGGGCGUAAAGAGGGAGCAGGCGGCACUAAGGGUCUGUGGUGAAAGAUCGAAGCUUAACUUCGGUAAGCCAUGGAAACCGUAGAGCUAGAGUGUGUGAGAGGAUCGUGGAAUUCCAUGUGUAGCGGUGAAAUGCGUAGAUAUAUGGAGGAACACCAGUGGCGAAGGCGACGAUCUGGCGCAUAACUGACGCUCAGUCCCGAAAGCGUGGGGAGCAAAUAGGAUUAGAUACCCUAGUAGUCCACGCCGUAAACGAUGAGUACUAAGUGU
rnacentral:rRNA from 1 species